rnacentral:rRNA from 1 species
CGCGGCCUAUCAGCUUGUUGGUGGGGUAGUGGCCUACCAAGGCGACGACGGGUAGCCGGCCUGAGAGGGCGACCGGCCACACUGGGACUGAGACACGGCCCAGACUCCUACGGGAGGCAGCAGUGGGGAAUAUUGCACAAUGGGCGAAAGCCUGAUGCAGCGACGCCGCGUGAGGGAUGACGGCCUUCGGGUUGUAAACCUCUUUCAGCAGGGAAGAAGCGAAAGUGACGGUACCUGCAGAAGAAGCACCGGCUAACUACGUGCCAGCAGCCGCGGUAAUACGUAGGGUGCAAGCGUUGUCCGGAAUUAUUGGGCGUAAAGAGCUCGUAGGCGGCUUGUCACGUCGGUUGUGAAAGCCCGGGGCUUAACCCCGGGUCUGCAGUCGAUACGGGCAGGCUAGAGUUCGGUAGGGGAGAUCGGAAUUCCUGGUGUAGCGGUGAAAUGCGCAGAUAUCAGGAGGAACACCGGUGGCGAAGGCGGAUCUCUGGGCCGAUACUGACGCUGAGGAGCGAAAGCGUGGGGAGCGAACAGGAUUAGAUACCCUGGUAGUCCACGCCGUAAACGGUGGGAACUAGGUGUGGGCGACAUUCCACGUUGUCCGUGCCGCAGCUAACGCAUUAAGUUCCCCGCCUGGGGAGUACGG